rnacentral:rRNA from 1 species
UACGUAGGCAGCGAGCGUUGUUCGGAGUUACUGGGCGUAAAGGGUGUGUAGGCGGUUGUUUAAGUUUGGUGUGAAAUCUCCCGGCUCAACUGGGAGGGUGCGCCGAAUACUGAAUGACUUGGAGUGCGGGAGAGGUGAGUGGAAUUCCUGGUGUAGCGGUGAAAUGCGUAGAUAUCAGGAGGAACACCGGUGGUGUAGACGGCUCACUGGACCGUAACUGACGCUGAGACACGAAAGCGUGGGGAGCAAACAGG